UAUAUUUAAAUUUAAUCAGGCUUGACGUUAAAAGGGAGGAUUUUGCGUAAAAAUGGGGAAGCAUUGGAACAUAAAAUUGUGCAAGCCUCAAUUAGAGAAGCUGAAGAAGGAUGCUCUUGAAGCAAUGGAAACUCAGAAAAGAACGGGAGGAGUUCAAAGACGAGCAGAUGAUUGAUGUUGAGUCUCUGGACAUCCGGAACUUCAUCUGAAGUAAAUGGCUCCACUCACUGUUUCCAGUGUUUUAA